CAGAAACACAGAGCUGUCUGAUGGAACGGUGAAGAUCAAACAGGGGGAAAAAAACAGGAGAAAAGAACAUAGGAGGCCACAGUCGCAGAGAAUAAGAAAAGCAAGAGGACAGAACUUUGGGGCUCCUCCAAGGACAAGAGAUCUUAAAAGCGGCCGGAACUCAUCUCAAGAGGGAAAAAUGGAAGAAGAACUCCACAAAGUAAAGACGACUGGACACCAAAACUGUCAGCGAAAAGUGGUGAGUGCCUCCAUUGUUACUGACCUGUCGAAAGAGUGGAACUGCAUGGGCAGCAUUGGGUGAGUCUUCAGCGCAGGAUCUGGGUGAUAGGGCGUCGGACCAGACUCCUGUCCCAGAUCACUGCCGUCCACGGGCGCCGCCACCAGACUCUUCAGGAUCUCCUGUGAUUGUGCCGAGGCCCAGCCCCAGCCCCAUCUCCGAGCCGUUCAGGGAUCCCGCCACAUGGCCCUCCUCGCCGAUGCCCGAGUCUGUAUGGGGGAGGCCGGCCCGGGGAGAGUCGUCCACUGGGGCUGGUGGACCUGCCAAUCUCCCGCUGGGGUUCCAAAAUGUCCCGGUACUUGGACACCAUGAGAACGGAGAUAAAGUAGACGACUGCCAGCGCCAGAAACUGAGCCUGCUUGCUGUCAUCCUAAAGAAAA